rnacentral:misc_RNA from 1 species
AAGUCGUAACAAGGUUUCCGUAGGUGAACCUGCGGAAGGAUCAUUACCAAAUCCAAAUUACCUAACCCCAUGUGAACUAUUGUUAUAGUCUGUCUUUGGGAGAAAUUUUCAUUAGUUUCUCCCAAUAGAGUCCGGCAUAACUGUAAUGGUUGUGUCCAGAUUCGAAAACCUUUAAACCACUUGAUUUUUUGUUGGAAUUUUCUUUUAUUAAUUUUCAAUAAAAGACAACUUUUAACGGCGGAUCUCUUGGCUCGU